rnacentral:lncRNA from 1 species
AUAACUAUUUUAUUAUUGCCUCUAGAGCAUAUUUCCAACAAAUUCUGCAAAGGCACAUGUACAAACUAAAGUGUCAUUUGUUGUAUGCCCCUAUAUGUGCCCUCCAUCGGCAAGCAUCCCCUUUUGCACUUCCUCUUGAUUGUUCCCUGCAAAAUUAGCCACCUUCGCAGAAGAAUUCCACGAGUUCUUUCAACCUUCUCUAUUAUGUGAAAAACUUCCAAAAUUCCUCGCGUGAGAUACAACACCCCCAACAUUGUUUCUACCAGAUCCACGGGAAACAUUUCCUGUGAAUCCUCCCUCAUUCUUCAUGCCGUCAAAACGAUCAAUAUGUGCAUCUUAUCUCCCAAAUCGUCCGCGCCCUUGGGUAAAUCCUCCUCUCACUUGCCCAUCUCCCGGUUUUUUCCCUUGCCACGACCCCCAUGCCUGUUUUGCCUAUUAC